CCUCCCUCUCAGCCUCCUGAGUAGCUGGGACUACAGGCAUGAUCCACUACACCCAGCUAAGUUAAUGCUAAUGUGUAGUUUAUCUGCUUCAAUUUUGAAGGGUAGGAUAUAUAUAGUUAUGUGUGUGUGUGUGUGGGGGGGGGUAGUGUUUGUGUGUGUGUGUGUGUAUAUAUAUUUAUAUAUUACUAGUCCAUUGCUGCUACAACAAACUACCACUAUGUCAGGGCAUAAAACAAAUUUAUUACACUCCUGUAUGUCAGAGUAUGAUGUGGAUCUCACUGGGCUAAAAUCUAGGUGGUGGAAAGGCUACCUUCAUCUCUAGAGGCUCUAGGGGAUCUUUUUUCUCGCCUUUUCCACAUUCUGGAGUCUGCCUGCAUUUUUUGGCUUUGGGCUCUUCUCCACUCUCACCAUUAGCAACCUUGCAUCCCAUGGACUCUUCUUCUGUGGCCACAUGUCUCUGUGGCUCUUUCCUUCCCCCUUCUCUUCCACUGUUAAGGACUCAUGUGCUUACUUAGUCCUGAAUGGAGACACCGUCAUCAUCCACAUGAGCCCACUGUCCUAAUCCAUACAGGCUGCUACAAGGAAAUGCAUUAGACCAGGUAGCUUAUAAAUAACAGAACUUUGUUUCUCACAGUCCUGGAGGCUGAGAAGUGCAAGAUCAAGGUGCCGGCAGUCUUGGUGUCUGGUGAAGGCCUGCUUUCUCAUAGAGGCUUCCUUCUUGCUGUGUCUUCGCAUGGUGAGUAGUGUCAUUGAGCAAACACAAAGUCGGGCUCAUCCAAGGAUGAGAUUUUGCCAGAGAAAGGACGAGCAGCAAGUCAGGGAGCUUAAGGUAAUUAUGGGAAAGUGACUAUCUGCAAUUGCUUAGGUAGAAGGAGACAGAUUGGAUUUUUGUGUGUUUGGUAUUUGGGAUAAGAGGGAUGUGGGUGUGUUUUUGACAUGGGUUGUUUAUUCUCUGUCUCUCUCUCUCUUUUUU
rnacentral:lncRNA from 10 species